rnacentral:tRNA from 1 species
GGCCCCAUGGUGUAGUGGUUAUCACUCUGGACUCUGAAUUCAGUGACCCGAGUUCGAGUCUCGGUGACGCCU